rnacentral:antisense_RNA from 1 species
UGCCUGGAGUGAAGAUUCUGCCCAUUGGUCAAGAGACCUCCCUCUCAGAUGCUGGCUCUGCCCCUGCCUUUGGGGGUCGACCCUUGUACUCGCAGGACCUUAGGUGACUCUAUUCUACUUCUCUGAUCAUCCAGGAAACCAAUCUGCCUGAGGACGAGUCAUACUCUGUCCUCCCACCCCAGGCUAGAGAGUGGUAUCUGUCUUUCCACAAGUUCUUGAUGCAGAUGAGCAGGUAGCCAUGGAAGUCAUGAGCUGAGGCUGCAGAGUCUAGAGCCAGAGCGUGGAAUAAACUUGGGUCUCAAAUCACCCCUGGAGCAAAGCCCCCAUCUAAUCAGGAACUUCUACUUUCAACUUUACAUGCGUGAGAAAUGAACUUCUAUCAUGUUAGAACUUUGAUGUCUUCAAAGCAAGGCGAGUGAGUGGCACUCUUCAGACAAGAAGGAAGAUGGCAGGUAAAAUCAGACAAGAAGGAAGAUGGCAGGUGAAAUGAUCUUCUUCUAAUGAGCCCCGUGCUGUGCUUGCCGAUGUCCUUGGUCACGGAGAUUUUCAGAAGAGCCAUGGCCUUACCAGUGAAGGUUACACAGAGGCCACUGGAGUCAAGUAACUCAUUGCACCUUAUUACAUUUAGGCACUUCUUUAUCCAUCAUGCAGAUUACUGGGAUUGGAAAGGGUCCUUUCAACAAUGAGUCAAUAUUGAA